UUGCUUGUUUCAGCAGCACGUAUACUAAAAUUGGAACAAUACAGAGAAGGUUGGCAUGGCCCCUAAGCAAGGAUGACACGCAAAUUCAUGAAACGUUCCAUUUUUUU
rnacentral:snRNA from 1 species